GCCCUGGGAUAGCUCAUUGGGUAGAGCACAAGACUCUUAAUCUCAGGGUUGUGGGUUCGAGCCCCAGGUUGGGCA